rnacentral:tRNA from 1 species
AAAAAGAUAAGCUAAAAAAGCUGGUGGGCCCAUACCCCGCAUAUAAAGGUUAUAACCCUUUUCUUUUUA